rnacentral:rRNA from 1 species
CCUACGGGAGGCAGCAGGAGGGAAUCUUCCACAAGGGGCGAAAGCCGGAUGGAGCAACGCCGCGGGGGUGAAGAAGGUCUUCGGAGGGUAAAACCCUGUUGAUAGAGAAGAAAGUGCGGGAGAGUAACUGUUCACGUGUCGACGGUAUCAAACCAGAAAGCCACGGCUAACUACGUGCCAGCAGCCGCGGUAAUAAGUAGGUGGCAAGCGUUAGCCGGAUUUAUUGGGCGUAAAUGGAACGAAGGCGGUCUGUUACGUCUGAUGUGAAAGCCUUCGGCUUAACCGGAGUAGUGCCUUUGAAACUGGGAGACUUGAGUGCAGCAGUGGUGAGUGGAACUCCCUGUGUAGCGGU